rnacentral:rRNA from 1 species
GAUGAACGCUGGCGGCGUGCCUAAUACAUGCAAGUCGAGCGAACAGAUAAGGAGCUUGCUCCUUUGACGUUAGCGGCGGACGGGUGAGUAACACGUGGAUAACCUACCUAUAAGACUGGGAUAACUUCGUGAAACCGGAGCUAAUACCGGAUAACAUAUUGAACCGCAUGGUUCAAUAGUGAAAGGCGGCUUUGCUGUCACUUAUAGAUGGAUCCGCGCCGUAUUAGCUAGUUGGUAAGGUAACGGCUUACCAAGGCAACGAUACGUAGCCGACCUGAGAGGGUGAUCGGCCACACUGGAACUGAGACACGGUCCAGACUCCUACGGGAGGCAGCAGUAGGGAAUCUUCCGCAAUGGGCGAAAGCCUGACGGAGCAACGCCGCGUGAGUGAUGAAGGUCUUCGGAUCGUAAAGCUCUGUUAUCAGGGAAGAACAAAUGUGUAAGUAACUGUGCACAUCCUGACGGUACCUGAUCAGAAAGCCACGGCUAACUACGUG